UGGGGAAUAUUGGACAAUGGGCGAAAGCCUGAUCCAGCAAUGCCGCGUGAGUGAUGAAGGCCUUAGGGUUGUAAAGCUCUUUUACCCGGGAUGAUAAUGACAGUACCGGGAGAAUAAGCCCCGGCUAACUCCGUGCCAGCAGCCGCGGUAAUACGGAGGGGGCUAGCGUUGUUCGGAAUUACUGGGCGUAAAGCGCGCGUAGGCGGCUUUGUAAGUUAGAGGUGAAAGCCCGGUGCUCAACAUCGGAAUAGCCUUUGAGACUGGGUGGCUAGAAUCCAGGAGAGGUGAGUGGAAUUCCGAGUGUAGAGGUGAAAUUCGUAGAUAUUCGGAAGAACACCAGUGGCGAAGGCGGCUCACUGGACUGGUAUUGACGCUGAGGUGCGAAAGCGUGGGGAGCAAA
rnacentral:rRNA from 1 species